UGGUUCAUGCGGACCAAAACACACAGAGGAAUUUCACGUGCAAGUCUAAUAGUAAUACCAUAUGCCCGUCUAAUGGAAGCCCCUGCUUAAAGAUAAAUGCAGAGUAAAUGCAACCACAAAGAUUCGACCAUCAUCGACUCCCAGGUUCUUGUAUAACGAAAGUACUCUUUUUUUUUUUCCAUUAUUACACAAGAAAAGGAAAAACAAUCCAGAACACAUCACUAUAUGCAAAUGCUAUUUUUG
rnacentral:misc_RNA from 1 species